rnacentral:rRNA from 1 species
AUAUUUGACAAUGGGGGCAACCCUGAUCCAGCCAUGCCGCGUGUGUGAAGAAGGUCUUCGGAUUGUAAAGCACUUUACGUUGGGAGGAAGGGCUUUAGGUUAAUACCCUGAAGUUUUGACGUUACCAACAUAAUAAGCACCGGCUAACUCUUUGCCAGCAGCCGCGGUAAGACAGAGGGUGCAAGCGUUACUCGGAAUUACUGGGCGUAAAGCGCGCGUAGGUGGUUCAGUAAGAUGGGUGUGAAAGCCCCGGGCUUAACCUGGGAACUGCUUUCAUAACUGCUGAGCUAGAGUACGGUAGAGGGUAGUGGAAUUUCCUGUGUAGCGGUGAAAUGCGUAGAUAUAGGAAGGAACACCAGUGGCGAAGGCGACUACCUGGACGAAAACUGACGCUGAUGCACGAAAGCUAGGGGAGCAAACA